UACGUAGGGGGCGAGCGUUGUCCGGAAUUAUUGGGCGUAAAGAGCGUGUAGGCGGUCCGGUAAGUCCGCUGUGAAAGUCGGGGGCUCAACCCUCGAAUGCCGGUGGAUACUGUCGGGCUAGAGUGCGGAAGAGGCGAGUGGAAUUCCUGGUGUAGCGGUGAAAUGCGCAGAUAUCAGGAGGAACACCUAUUGCGAAGGCAGCUCGCUGGGACGUAACUGACGCUGAGGCGCGAAAGCGUGGGGAGCAAACAGG
rnacentral:rRNA from 1 species